rnacentral:rRNA from 1 species
AGUAACGCGUGAGGAACCUGCCUCAAAGAGGGGGACAACAGUUGGAAACGACUGCUAAUACCGCAUAAGCCCACGGCUCGGCAUCGAGCAGAGGGAAAAGGAGUGAUCCGCUUUGAGAUGGCCUCGCGUCCGAUUAGCUAGUUGGUGAGGUAACGGCCCACCAAGGCAACGAUCGGUAGCAGGACUGAGAGGUUGAACGGCCACAUUGGGACUGAGACACGGCCCAG